AUUGAACGCUGGCGGCAGGCUUAACACAUGCAAGUCGAGCGGGGAGAUGUAGCUUGCUACAUUUCCUAGCGGCGGACGGGUGAGUAAUGCCUAGGAAUCUGCCUAUUAGUGGGGGACAACAUUCCGAAAGGAAUGCUAAUACCGCAUACGCCCUACGGGGGAACGCAGGGGAUCUUCGGACCUUGCGCUAAUAGAUGUGCCUAAGUAAGAUUAGCUAGUUGGUGGGGUAAAGGCCUACCAAGGCGACGAUCUGUAGCGGGUCUGAGAGGAUGAUCCGCCACACUGGGACUGAGACACGGCCCAGACUCCUACGGGAGGCAGCAGUGGGGAAUAUUGGACAAUGGGCGAAAGCCUGAUCCAGCCAUGCCGCGUGUGUGAAGAAGGCCUUUUGGUUGUAAAGCACUUUAAGCGAGGAGGAGGCUACUUGGAUUAAUACUCUAGGAUAGUGGACGUUACUCGCAGAAUAAGCACCAGCUAACUCUGUGCCAGCCGCCGCAGUAA
rnacentral:rRNA from 1 species